GACAUGCUAGUUCGGGUACAUGAGGCAAUAUCAUGCUUUCCCGAUAUAGAGAUUUUAGUUGAAUAGAACUCCUAGUUUAGUAAUUGGUUAUAGGUCACUCUGUAUUAUUAGUGUGGUGUUCUUAAAUUUUUAUAUAAUUGACUUUCCUUAAUAUGGGUUCAAAUAAUUGGAAGUGAUGCUUAAAGGAAAUUUCUCGUUCAGAUUUUCUAUUGUGCUCAGGUUGUGAGCAGUUUGAAAUGGAUUCUUUAGGAAACUUUGUCUUCUAGCCUGACAGAUUGCAUAAGAGAUGAGACAAAAACGUAAGUUGAAAGGGAAAUGAUUCAUUGUUCUGUUAUUUAAAGAAUAUCUCAUUCUUUAUACCUUUCAUAAUCAGGAUUUCAAAAUAAGGUUCCAGAUUAUUUUCAUGCUCAAGUACAGUUUUUUGACUAACUGUAUUUGUUGAAAAGUCAGCAACAGCCCAGUAAAGGACUGAAUUUAUAUGCAGUCAUAAAUCAGCAUGCUAUUUUACAUGUUUCUGUGUGCAUUUGAGGAAAUUCAGACAGUUUUAUUAUUGAAACAUUUAAUAAUGAUACAUAAGAACGUAAGAAGUUACUGCUUUCCCAUAAAAUUAUGGGUUUAUUUCUAGUUUAGCUCUUCAUUACUGUGGGUAGAAUUGGAAAGUGUACAGUGGGAUAACUUUGGGGGAGGGGGAUUUAUUCAGUAAGGCUCUCUUGAAAUUGGAAAGAAGUUUGAAGAGCUAUUAUUGUUCUAAAUAGAUUGGGAUUAUAUUAACUGCAAUAACAAUCUCUAAAUGUAAGAAAUAUCUGGGAGAAAUGACGCUUCAAAACUUUCCAUUCUAUCAUGGCUAACUUUAAAAAGUUUUGUGAAUUGCACUGUUGACACGAACAUAAUACACAUUUCUCAUUGCUAGUUUAUUUUUAACUUAAUAUUAAAAUAAGAGAAAUCACAGAGAUGUACACAGAUAUAUACAUUAUGCUAAUUAUGAAUUUUGCAAAUAGAUGCAUGUUUAAAAUGCUAUUUCUGCACUGAUUAACUAAAUGUAAUUCUAGUGACAUAUAUACUUUUAAGAAUAAAGUAAGUAAAAUUAUAUAUUAUGGGCUGGUU
rnacentral:lncRNA from 1 species